UAACAAUCUCUUGUAACGAUCCAAAUACUUCCAAAACCAAUGGUUUUUAUUUAUUUAAUUAGUCUAUUUUCAUUCACAUUUCAUUUAUGCUAAUCAAUAAAAUUACUUAAAAUAUUUUGUACCGACGUUAGAUAUAAUUUAUAGAGAUAAGAUUUAUAAUAAAUAAAAGGUGGAGUAAAAUGUCUUGGUUUGGGAAUUUGUUGAACAAAUAUUUCUUAGAGACCUGAAUUUUCACAAAUUAUAUGUACUAUGAUUUUUCUUUUUAAAAUAAUAUCACCUGGUAUAAAAAACAUCCGCUCAGUAAAAUGAGAGUUUUCGCGUAUGAACAAGGCCGUCCCGUGUCUGACGAAUGAGCCCAGUGAGAUCGAAGCCUUUGUGUGGAUGAUCGUCUGGAUUCUAUGGAUGAGCAUCGCAAGCAGCAGGUAUCUUUAAGGGGAGCGAGCGCGAAGGAGAUUACGAGGGAUGCUCUUCUUGAGAAGGUAUCUCAGGAAAGAGAGCUCCGGAGCUAUGCCAGACGAGCGGUCGCAGCUGCUUUCUUUAUUCAGAGAGUCUGGAGGCGCUACAAGGUUACAAAGAUGGUUGCUUUGAAGCUUCAAGAAGAAUGGGAUUCGGUCUUGGCAAAUUAUAAUGCUCGUAGAGUUUCAGCAACAUGGAUCUCAAAUGUUGUGUUGAGACCUUUUCUUUUCUUUAUUGGAGUUUCAACAAUCCGGCAUCAGAAGAUUCAAACUAAAGAAAUAGAUUGUAUGCAAAAAUGCUUUAGAAUUCUAUUGGAAAGCUUGAACUCAACAGAUUCAAAGAAGAAUUUUUGCUCCUUUGCAACGGGUACCCAUGAAGAGAGAAGAAUAUGGCUUUAUCAAGCACGAAAACUUAUUUCUCUUUCCGUUUUCAUUCUUGGGGAAUGCAAUAAAUGUGAUGUAGUGGGUCAAGAUAUUGUUGUUCUUACCACCUUGGUGAUGCGUCUUGUUGUUUUCCUUACUGAUCCGAAAGCGUGGAAAAGCAUUACUGACAAUAAUAAGCAGGAUGCAGAUAUGGCAGUGAGGAAUUUAGUUUAUUUCAUGGGGAGUUGUAAAAGUGGUAUUUACAAAUAUAUUAGAAGAUACAUUUGCACCUUGGAUGUUUCAUUUUCCUCACAGAAAAACAAUAAUGUCCAGACAGAUGAUAAACUUUUAGUUACGGCAAGUGCAGUAACUUUAGCAUUGCGCCCUUUUCACUUGACAAACUUUGAUGCAAGUGGCCCUGGCAUGUUGGACGUAGAUGAUGUGGCUGUGCAGUACUGUGUGUUCCUGCUUACAAUUCCUUGGCUUGCUCAACGACUGCCAGCUGUUAUUAUACCUGCUCUAAAGCACAAGUGUAUAUUGUUACCAUGCUUCUGGAAUGUACUGAUAUUGAAAGAGAGAAUCUUAACAGAGAUGUCAGAGAUGAAUCAGUCAGAGAUUCAUUUCUCUUCCAAGGUCAUUCCGCCAGUUGGUUGGGCUCUAGCAAACAUUAUAUGCCUAGCAUCAGGGAGUGAGAAUGGUUCAGUGGAUCCUGGCCGGUUUAGUCAAGGUUUAGACUGUGCAUCAUAUGUCCACGUUGUUAUCACUCUUGCGGAAAACUUACUGGGUUGGAUUGAGAAUGUAGGAUGGAUGAAGGAGACUCAAGAUAUGCAAAUUGAUGUCUAUGCGGACCGCCCCCAUGGGACUGAAACAACUCAUGGGUUAAAGAUGUCAUAUAUGGAUCUGCUUAGGCCUGUUUGUCAGCAAUGGCAUCUUACCAAUCUUUUGGCCCUUAUGAAAACAUAUUCCUUUACUCACAGUGUUGAGACCAUGCCACCAAACAAUAUAGAACACUUUCAGAAGCUUGAAUUGCUUGAUGUUGCAUAUUUUUACUCUUACCUGCUUAGAAUAUUUUCUGUCUUGAAUCCCACGCUUGGUUCAUUGCCCAUUCUUAACAUGCUAUCUUUUACUCCUGGAUUUCUUGUCAAUCUAUGGGGAGCACUGGAAAGUAUCUUUUUUCCUGGAAACAAUUUGGUUACUGAAAGAGAUCAUCCUCUUUAUGUUAGUAAGAAUUCAGGAAAAAGAAAGGAUGGGAUUUUGGUGAAAAAGGAAAAAGGAGCCAAUAAGGAUGGUGUUAAUAAGUGGGUCAAUGUACUGAAUAAAGUUACUGGCAAGUCACAAGCAGGCAUUGACUUGGUUGAUAGUCAUCCUAAGCCUAGCCAGGAUGAUAAUGACUCUUGUGAUGUAUGGGAUAUAGAACCUUUAAAGUGUGGUCCACAAGGCAUAUCAAAAGAUAUGACAUGUCUGCUUCACCUUUUCUCUGCCACCUAUUCUCACCUGCUGCUAAUUCUUGAUGACAUUGAGUUCUACGAAAAACAGGUUCCAUUUACACUGGAGCGGCAACGAAGAAUUGCAUCAAUGCUCAAUACGCUAGUUUAUAAUGGCUUGUCUCAUAGUAUUGGUCAGCAGAAUAGACCCCUUAUGGAUUCUGCAAUCAGAUGCUUGCACUUAAUGUACGAAAGGGAUUGCAGGCACCCAUUUUGCCCCCCUGUCUUGUGGCUUUCACCUGCUAGAAAAAGCCGUCCCCCAAUUUCAGUAGCUGCCAGAACUCACGAAGUAUUGUCAGCUAAUCUAAAAGCAGAUGAUGAUUUGACUAUACCAAGCGUGGAUUCUGUCAUCACUACUACUCCACACGUAUUUCCUUUUGAAGAAAGAGUUGAGAUGUUUAGAGAGUUCAUUAUGAUGGAUAAAGCCUCCCGAAAAAUGGCUGGUGAGGUUGCUGGACCUGGUUCACGGUCAAUUGAGAUAGUAGUUCGCCGGGGUCAUAUUGUUGAAGAUGGAUUUCAGCAGUUAAAUUCUCUUGGUUCAAGGUUGAAGUCAUCCAUCCAUGUAUCAUUUCUUAGUGAAUGUGGCCUUCCAGAGGCUGGUCUGGACUACGGUGGAUUAUCUAAGGAGUUUUUAACUGAUAUAUCAAAAGCAGCCUUUGCCCCUGAAUAUGGGUUAUUCUCCCAAACCUCAACUUCAGACAGACUUCUAAUUCCUAAUGCAUCUGCAAGAUAUAUAGAGAAUGGUAUUCAGAUGAUUGAGUUCCUUGGAAGAGUUGUUGGUAAAGCUCUAUAUGAAGGAAUAUUACUAGAUUACUCUUUUUCCCAUGUUUUCGUACAAAAGCUGUUGGGCCGAUAUAGCUUUCUUGAUGAAUUAUCAACACUUGAUCCGGAGCUCUACAGGAAUCUCAUGUAUGUGAAGCAUUAUGAUGGUGAUGUCAAGGAAAUCUCCCUAGAUUUUACGGUUACCGAAGAAUCAUUUGGCAAACGGCAUGUUGUUGAGCUUAAACCUGGCGGCAAGGAUAUCUCUGUGACAAAUGAGAACAAGAUGCAGUAUGUUCAUGCAAUUGCAGACUAUAAACUUAAUCGGCAGAUAUUACCCUUUUCAAAUGCUUUCUAUAGAGGAUUAACUGAUCUUAUAUCACCAUCUUGGUUGAAGUUAUUUAAUGCAAGUGAAUUCAAUCAGUUGCUUUCAGGUGGAAACCAUGAUAUCGACGUUGACGAUUUAAGAAAUAACACACGCUACACUGGUGGUUUUUCUGAGGGGAGCCGAACGAUUAAAAUCUUUUGGGAGGUUAUUAGAGACUUUGAACCAGAGGAACGUUGCAUGCUUCUAAAAUUUGUGACCAGUUGUUCUAGAGCUCCAUUACUUGGGUUCAAACACUUGCAGCCAGCCUUUACUAUCCAUAAGAUCUUAUAUAGGUUGCAUGCGAUGUCCCUCUUUGGGCCACAAUUGGAGGUCAGGAUGUGGAUAGGCUUCCUUCGGCUUCAACCUGCUACAAUACUCUCAAGCUUCCAACAUACAAACGUUCAAGCACUUUAAGAGCAAAACUUCUCUAUGCAAUCAGCUCUAAUGCAGGAUUUGAACUUUCUUAGUGGUCUGCUUCAGAUCAAACGAGUAAAGUAGUAAAAUUUUCUACUUGGAAGAGCUUCAAGAGAUGAGGGAAGUUCCCCGUGAAAUGGCGUCUUGGUUCAGUCUUGCAACGCACUGAUUACUUCCAAAGCCAAACAGUGUGAUGGCGCAGGCAAAGAUCCCUUGCUCCCAGUCCAUACAGAAUCUGUCAUUCAUAUUGCUACUUGUGUUAAAAUAAUGACUCGUCUUAGAUUAACUCUGAAGGAUGACUACUGGUUUCUCUUCCGUACUUAUCUUAUUUAACUGCAAUAUAUGUAAAUUCAAUAUAUACUACCUGUAAAUUCAAGAUUUAAAAAUAGUAUUCGUCUGGUAUAGUUGUUGAA